rnacentral:rRNA from 1 species
AUUGAACGCUGGCGGCAGGCCUAACACAUGCAAGUCGAGCGAACCUAGCUUGCCAGGUGAGCGGCGAACGGGUGAGUAACGCGUAGGAAUCUGCCUGGUAGUGGGGGACAACGUUCCGAAAGGAACGCUAAUACCGCAUACGCCCUACGGGGGAAAGCAGGGGAUCUUCGGACCUUGCGCUAUCAGAUGAGCCUGCGUCGGAUGAGCUAGUUGGUAGGGUAAAGGCCUACCAAGGCGACGAUCCGUAACUGGUCUGAGAGGAUGAUCAGUCACACCGGGACUGAGACACGGUCCGGACUCCUACGGGAGGCAGCAGUGGGGAAUAUUGGACAAUGGGGGCAACCCUGAUCCAGCCAUGCUGCGUGUGUGAAGAAGGCCUUCGGGUUGUAAAGCACUUUAGGUCGGGAGGAAGGUUCGCUGGCUAAUAUCCAGCGGAAUUGACGUUACCGACAGAAUAAGCACCGGCUAACUCCGUGCCAGCAGCCGCCGUAA